rnacentral:rRNA from 1 species
GGGCCCGCACAAGCAGUGGAGCAUGUGGUUUAAUUCGAUGCAACGCGAAGAACCUUACCAGGCCUUGACAUCCUCGGAACUUUCUAGAGAUAGAUUGGUGCCUUCGGGAACCGAGUGACAGGUGCUGCAUGGCUGUCGUCAGCUCGUGUCGUGAGAUGUUGGGUUAAGUCCCGUAACGAGCGCAACCCUUGUCCUUAGUUGCCAGCACAUUAUGGUGGGAACUCACAAGAUACUGCCUGUGGAAAGCAGGAGGAAGGUGGGGAUGACGUCAAAUCAUCAUGCCCCUUAUGUCUUGGGCUUCACGCAUGCUACAAUGGCCGGUACAGAGGGCUGCAAUACCGCAAGGUGGAGCGAAUCCCAAAAGCCGGUCUCAGUUCGGAUUGAGGUCUGCAACUCGACCUCAUG